rnacentral:tRNA from 1 species
CUUUUUAAAGGAUAAUAGUCAUCCAUUGGUUUUAGGAUCCAAAUAUUCCUGGUGCAAAUCCACGUGAAAAGU